AGUGAUGAUCCCCUUGGUGAUUCGGCAGAUUCAGCACUUAAAUUAUUUGUUUGCUCUCCACAACUCAUUCUCCUUGCAAUAGUAGGAGAAUCCCACAUUUCCGGUGCAUUUAAUGUUGCACCUGCCCCAGUUGUCACAUUGGUUUCCUGUGCAUCCCCAUAUAUUUGCUCUUCUUUCUCCUCUCUCACUUGGUCUCCUCUUCUCUCACUUUGUUUCCUGCCACAGUUCAGUCUGACCGUGACAGUCUCAGUAUCCGAAUCACACAUUUCAGGAUCAUCCAUUGCUGCAUCUCCACCAGUACAUGUCACCUUGCUUUCAGGUGCAUCCCCAUCUAUUUGCUCUUUUUUCUCCUCUCUUGCUUGGUCUCCUCCUCUCUCACUUGGUGUCCUGCCACUAUUCACCCUCACUGUGACAGUCUCAGCAUCCGAAUCACACAUUUCAGGCACAUUUAAUGCCAC
rnacentral:lncRNA from 1 species